CAGGCAGAGGGUCAGGAAAUAUCCUUCUCUCACAGCGAUGAGUAAGGGACAGCUUGAUCACCAGGAAGCUGCUUUGUGUCCCCAGCACAAUGUUGGGGUCAGGAAGCCUGUGCAGCUCACAGAGUCGGACUUGAGACUUUUUUGCUUCUGUCUACCAACCCCUCGUGAUCCAUCAGCCUUCUGGAUUCAGAUACUUCCCAGGACACUCAGCGAUGGUCAGCAAGCAGCCACGAGCCACUGAUGACCCAGCUGGGACCCCAGGGCCAACACUCUGCUCUGAGUCCAGUGCAGAAAGGGCUGUGAGCUUGGGGGCAAGAACUGUGACUGAGCUCCUGUCUCUCCUGUUCAACACAGGAGCUGAAGGACUGUCCCUGCCCAGUUCAGAGCUGUGAUUUAUGGGGCAACCAGAUAACUGCCUCAAAGUGAGAGCUGGCCACAUGCGUAGCUGUAGGUGUAAGAUGCAUUUACAAUAAAUACACGUAUGACAGAGGUUUGCACAGGAAAUAACAUCUGCAGUGGCAGAGGAGCCAGUCAGAGACGCACAGCUACCAGCAGGAGUCAGGCGUGGACCCUGCAAGCUGCCUGGGACCAACGUUCCCCUCGCCUGGCUAGUUCAGUGCUGACCCUGGCAAUCCUGUGGAAAUCUGUGCUCAGGGCAGCACAGAGGCGACUGGUGGGACUUGGGCCCUGCACAUCCUGCUGGGCGGCAGCUCAAGCUGGAGGCAGAAUUGUGAAACAGGAUCCUCUCUUCCCACCCACACGGGAGCCUCUUCAGCACUGCCCCCUCCCGGGAGCUCACAGAGUCUCUGCCACGGUGUCGGCCGGUGCCUCGUAAGCCCUGGCAUGUGCUGUGGGCAGACCCCGCACAGGACACGCCUGAGGCAGCCAGCAUGCAGGAAGUGGACACAGCCGCCGAGUCCCUGAGCCGGUGAGGGCUCCUUGUACAAUAGAUGCCCACGCCCUUCAUCUCUGUGGCUGUGACACUGGACCCAGGCGCAGCUCAUCCCAAAUGUGUCCUGUGAAAGGAUCGGGAAAAGGAAGCAAGUGAAAGCCAAGAAAUAUAUAAAUAAACAACCACUGCCAAUAAAAGCACCACGGGCUCUGUGCCAUGCCAGCUGCCCACCUGGCACCUGUGUCCUGUGACAUUAAGGAGGUACGGUCUGUGCAGACAGCUGCAGGUCCUACAAGGUGACAGGGGCUGCAAUGAACCUGCACAGUUCCGGAGGCCAGGAGUCUGAAUUCAGGGCGCCAGUAUGGAUUCAGAUACUUCCCAGGACACUCAGCAAUGGUCAGCAAGCAGCCACGAGCCACUGAUGACCCAGCUGGGACCCCAGGGCCAACACUCUGCUCUGAGUCCAGUGCAGAAAAGGCUGUGAGCUUGGGGACAAGAACUGCGACUCAGCUCCUGCCUCUCCUGUUCAAUAUAGAAGGCAAAGGACUGUCCCUGCCCAAUUCAAGGCUGUGGUUUAUGGGGAAACCAGAUGACCACCUCCAAGUAAGAGCUUGUCACAUGCGUAGCCACAGGUGUAAGAUGCACUUCCAAUAAAUACACGUACAACAGGUGUUCACACAGGAAAUAAUAUCCUCAGUGGCCAAGGGGCCUGACAGGGAGGCACAGCUCCCAGCAGGACUCAGGCGUGGACCCAGCCAGCUGCCUGGGACCUACGCUGGGCCUCUCACCUGGCUGGUCAGGUGCUGACCCUGGCGUUCCUGUGGAAAGCUGUGCUCAGGGCAGCACAGAGGGGCCUGGCAGUUCUUUGUCCCAGACACCGUCCUGCUGGGCGGCAGCUCAGGCUGGAGGCAGAAUUGUGAAUCAGGAUCCUCUCUUCCCCCCACAUGGGAGACUUGUCAGCACUGCCCCUCCUGGGAGCUCACAGAGCCUCUGCCACUGUGCCAGCCGGUGCCUCCUGGUGCCCUGGCACGUGCUGUGGGCAGACCCUGCACAGGCCAUGCCUGACGCAGCCAGCACGCAGACAGCGGACACAGCCGCCCAGUCCCUGAGCCGGUGAGGGCUCCUUGUACAAUAGAUGCCCACGCCCUUCAUCUCUGUGGCUGUGACACUGGACCCAGGUGCAGAUCAUCCCAAAUUUGUCCUGCCAAAGGAUCAGGAAAAGGAAGCAAGUGAAAGCCAAAAAAUAUAUAAAUGAACAACCACGAGCAACAAAGGCACCACAUCACGACGGGCUCUGUGCCAUGCCAGCUGCCCACCUGGCACCUGUGUCCUGUGACACGAAGGAGGCGCCGGUCCGUGCAGACAGCUGCAGGUCUCACAAGGUGACAGGGGCUGCAAUGAGCCUCCAGAGGUAUGUUCCCUGAAGGUGGGCACAGGGAGAGAACAGUAGGGGCUGCCCCCCCUGCCCCCCAGUACUGCGGGAGUCCAGCUCCCUCUGGUCCAGGGGUUUGUCACGUCCAGCGUGGCAAGGGCAUACAGGUUUCUCUUAAGGGGCGACGCAGA